rnacentral:rRNA from 1 species
GAUGAACGCUGGCGGCGUGCCUAAUACAUGCAAGUCGAGCGAACAGACGAGGAGCUUGCUCCUUUGACGUUAGCGGCGGACGGGUGAGUAACACGUAGGUAACCUACCUAUAAGACUGGGAUAACUUCGGGAAACCGGAGCUAAUACCGGAUAAUAUUUCGAACCGCAUGGUUCGAUAGUGAAAGAUGGCUUUGCUAUCACUUAUAGAUGGACCUGCGCCGUAUUAGCUAGUUGGUAAGGUAACGGCUUACCAAGGCAACGAUACGUUGCCGACCUGAGAGGGUGAUCGGCCACACUGGAACUGAGACACGGUCCAGACUCCUACGGGAGGCAGCAGUAGGGAAUCUUCCGCAAUGGGCGAAAGCCUGACGGAGCAACGCCGCGUGAGUGAUGAAGGUCUUCGGAUCGUAAAACUCUGUUAUUAGGGAAGAACAAACGUGUAAGUAACUGUGCACGUCUUGACGGUACCUAAUCAGAAAGCCACGGCUAACUACGUG